rnacentral:rRNA from 1 species
UACGGGGGGAGCAAGCGUUGUUCGGAUUUACUGGGCGUAAAGGGCGCGUAGGCGGUCAGCACAAGUCAGUUGUGAAAUCUCCGGGCUUAACUCGGAAAGGUCAACUGAUACUGUGCGACUAGAGUGCAGAAGGGGCAACUGGAAUUCUCGGUGUAGCGGUGAAAUGCGUAGAGAUCGGGAGGAACAUCAGUUGCGAAGGCGGCUCUCUGGACCAACACUGACACUGAGGCACGAAAGCGUGGGGAGCAAACAGG